rnacentral:rRNA from 1 species
AUUGAACGCUGGCGGCAUGCCUUACACAUGCAAGUCGAACGGCAGCACGGGUGCUUGCACCUGGUGGCGAGUGGCGAACGGGUGAGUAAUACAUCGGAACGUACCUUAUCGUGGGGGAUAACGCAGCGAAAGCUGUGCUAAUACCGCAUACGCCCUGAGGGGGAAAGCGGGGGAUCGAAAGACCUCGCGCGAUUAGAGCGGCCGAUGCCUGAUUAGCUUGUUGGUGGGGUAAAAGCCCACCAAGGCGACGAUCAGUAGCUGGUCUGAGAGGACGAUCAGCCACACUGGGACUGAGACACGGCCCAGACUCCUACGGGAGGCAGCAGUGGGGAAUUUUGGACAAUGGGGGGAACCCUGAUCCAGCAAUGCCGCGUGAGUGAAGAAGGCCUUCGGGUUGUAAAGCUCUUUUGUCAGGGAAGAAGCACCGGCUCUAACACAGUCCGGGAAUGACGGUACCUGAAGAAUAAGCACCGGCUAACUACGUGCCAGCAGCCGCCGUAA